rnacentral:rRNA from 1 species
AUUGAACGCUGGCGGCAGGCCUAACACAUGCAAGUCGAGCGGAGCGACGGACGGGCGAGUAAUGCCUAGGUAUCUGCCUGCUAGUGGGGGAUAACGUCCGGCAACGGGCGCUAAUACCGCAUACUAUCAGAUGAGACUAGGUGGGGUUAGCUAGUUGGUGGGGUAAAGGCCUACCAAGGCGACGAUCCCUACCUGGCCUGAGAGGAUGAUCAGUCACACUGGAACUGAGACACGGUCCAGACUCCUACGGGAGGCAGCAGUGGGGAAUAUUGGACAAUGGGCGAAAGCCUGAUCCAGCCAUGCCGCGUGUGUGAAGAAGGUCUUCGGAUUGUAAAGCACUUUAAGUUGGGAGGCGUUACCAACAGAAUAAGCACCGGCUAACUUCGUGCCAGCAGCCGCGGUAAUUC